rnacentral:rRNA from 1 species
UACAGAGGUGGCUAACGUUGUUCGGAUUUACUGGGCGUAAAGGGUGCGUAGGUGGACGGGUAUGUUGGAUGUGAAAGCCCACGGCUUAACCGUGGAAUUGCAUUCAAAACUGCAAGUCUGGAGUACAGAAGGGGAGAGCGGAAUUCUUGGUGUAGCGGUGAAAUGCGUUGAUAUCAAGAAGAACACCGGUGGCGAAGGCGGCUCUCUGGUCUGUAACUGACACUGAGGCACGAGAGCUAGGGGAGCAAACAGG